rnacentral:rRNA from 1 species
GAUGAACGCUAGCGGCGGGCUUAAUACAUGCAAGUCAAGGGGUAGCAAUACACCGGCGUACGGGUGCGUAACGCGUAUGGAACCUGCCCUUAUCUGGGGGAUAACUCGGGGAAACUCGAGCUAAUACCGCAUAAGAUAGUAGAAUGGCAUCAUUCAGCUAUUAAAGAUUUAUCGGAUAAGGAUGGCCAUGCGUAAGAUUAGAUAGUUGGUGGGGUAACGGCUCACCAAGUCUACGAUCUUUAGGGGCUCUGAGAGGAGAAUCCCCCACACUGGCACUGAGAUACGGGCCAGACUCCUACGGGAGGCAGCAGUAGGGAAUAUUGGGCAAUGGGCGGAAGCCUGACCCAGCCACGCCGCGUGCAGGAAGAAGGCCCUCUGGGUUGUAAACUGCUUUUGAUUGGGAAGAAAGCAUCUCAUGCGUGGGAUUUUGACGGUACCAAUCGAAUAAGCCACGGCUAACUACGUGCCAGCAGCCGCUGUAAAAC